rnacentral:rRNA from 1 species
UACGGGGGGGGCAAGCGUUGUUCGGAAUUACUGGGCGUAAAGGGCGCGUAGGCGGCUUGGCAAGUGGAUGGUGAAAUCCCUCGGCUUAACCGAGGAACUGCCGUCCAAACUGCUUUGCUUGAGGCCGGGAGAGGCGAGUGGAAUUCCCAGUGUAGCGGUGAAAUGCGUAGAUAUUGGGAGGAACACCAGUGGCGAAGGCGGCUCGCUGGACCGGUUCUGACGCUGAUGCGCGAAAGCGUGGGGAGCAAACGGG